CUUAAAGUAACUUUGUAAUCGCCUUUCCUUUUGCACCUUCUGUUCGUUUAGAGAUACCAUCUUUUAUUAGUAUAUCUACUUGUAUCUAUUUCUAACCUAAUAUUGUUUCUAUUCAGUUGUCAUCCCAAACCUGUUCCACCCCUCAUAUAAUCAUUCACACUUUUUUUUUCCUCCUAUCAAAAUUUCUCAAAAUAGAAUAUUCAGAUGUUUG